CCAGCCCUAAAACAGAGCCAUCAAGGCUAGUAACUGGGAAAAGGCAAGCUCUUGGAAACCAGGCUGAUGAGUGUAGAAGGCAAGACGACCUAGGGAGUAAGGGGUUAAAGAAGAAGAGGAAGUGAUGGCUGUGAGCUCUGCUGAGAAGGAAGAGAAAGGAAAAGAGCAACAUGAAGAUAGCAGCUACCACUUACUGGACUCGCUGUGCCAGGCGCUGGUCCAAGGGCCAGCUUCUAGCUGCGAUCUUGCUUCAGCCUCUCCACACUCUGGUUAGAUGACAGAACACUUCAAGAUGUACACAAAGAACAAAAGAAGACAAAUGAAUACUUAGCAAUAUCACAGUUUGUGAUAUUCGGCAUCAACAGUAAUAAAGCACACAGGUCAUGCAUCUGAUCAGUAGCAGACCUGAGAUUUAAACCCAACUCUUAUGAGACCUGGGAGUACACCCCUGUGAUCGAAAUAGAGGUCAACACCACUGCCCCACUUUAAACAUGUGGCACUUUGAGGUGAGAGAGAGAAGCUAGAAAAGAAAUGGAAGUCCGACUCAUUCAGGAAGAGGCACACCGAAAGCGAAAGGUGGCCGAUGACCCGUUUCUCAGUCUCAGACCCUACAGGGAAGCCAAGCAGGUGUGGAGGUGGGAGCUGAGGGGCAGCCGUGUCACAGCCAGGCUGUAAAGGAUGCUGCAAAGUAAGUUGAAAACCUUGAGCAACCAUGGGUGUGGCUAUGCGCAACAAGAUCCAAAAACUACAACUUUUAAAAAAACAGACCAAAGGGGGCUCAGUGGGGUUCAGUGGU
rnacentral:lncRNA from 1 species